rnacentral:rRNA from 1 species
GCAUAUCAAUAAGCGGAGGAAAAGAAACCAACCGGGAUUGCCUCAGUAACGGCGAGUGAAGCGGCAAGAGCUCAAAUUUGAAAUCUGGCCCCUCCGGGGUCCGAGUUGUAAUUUGCAGAGGAUGCUUCGGGCGCAGCCCCCGUCUAAGUGCCCUGGAACGGGCCGUCAUAGAGGGUGAGAAUCCCGUCUGGGACGGGGUGUCUGUGUCCGUGUGAAGCUCCUUCGACGAGUCGAGUUGUUUGGGAAUGCAGCUCUAAAUGGGUGGUAAAUUUCAUCUAAAGCUAAAUACUGGCCGGAGACCGAUAGCGCACAAGUAGAGUGAUCGAAAGAUGAAAAGCACUUUGAAAAGAGAGUUAAACAGCACGUGAAAUUGUUGAAAGGGAAGCGCUUGCGACCAGACUCGCCCGCGGGGUUCAGCCGGCCUUUGGGCCGGUGUACUUCCCCGCGGACGGGCCAGCGUCGGUUUGGGCGGCCGGUCAAAGGCCCCGGGAAUGUAUCGCCCUCCGGGGCGUCUUAUAGCCCGGGGUGCAAUGCGGCCUGCCCGGACCGAGGAACGCGCUUCGGCACGGACGCUGGCAUAAUGGUCGUAAGCGACCCGUCUUGAAACACGGACCAAGGAGUCUAACAUCUACGCGAGUGUUCGGGUGUCAAACCCGUGCGCGGAGUGAAAGCGAACGGAGGUGGGAGCCCCUCGGGGCGCACCAUCGACCGAUCCUGAUGUCUUCGGAUGGAUUUGAGUAAGAGCGUAAAUGUGGGGACCCGAAAGAUGGUGAACUAUGCCUGAAUAGGGCGAAGCCAGAGGAAACUCUGGUGGAGGCUCGCAGCGGUUCUGACGUGCAAAUCGAUCGUCGAAUUUGGGUAUAGGGGCGAAAGACUAAUCGAACCAUCUAGUAGCUGGUUCUGCCGAG